UUUGUGACGUCUUUUGUAGAAAAAAUGGGGUCCCGAGGACACGCCAUCUGGGUUGAAGGGACAAGUAAUGGAAGUGAUAGAAGAACAACGCUUGUUUAGAAAAGAAUAGGGAUGUAUAGCUUUUUAGUCAUUUUAGCAAGAGAAUUACCAGCAAAUUUCCAGCCACUGAGACAAGAAGGCUCUGAAGCAGCAUUUUAAUAGCAGAGAAAGGCCAGAAUACUCUCAGAGCCGUAAGAGAGCUGGACCAUUUCUCCCUUAUGAAACCCAGCGUCUCUCAGCCACCUCAGCCCAGUGACCCCAGAGGACGCUCAGCUCUGACUGGCAAGGGCACAACAGCCCUCGAGAAACAGUCAGUCCUGAGAUGGGGAAUGGUCCUGACACAAAGCAGAAACCCUUCAAGCCUAUGGCAAAAUGGGCAGCCAGUGGGAACAAGUGGUUCCUCUGUAUGCCGCAUCUGGUGGAGUGCUUGGCAUUUCUGGGAUACCCACCUGCCCUGGAUUCCAGCCUCCAUGCCUGUCACCUUCAUGGCCCUCAGGAGAGCAGAAGACACACGCCCCCAGCACUGUUCCUUCCAUCCUGAGAUGGACGACCAGGUUAUCUGCCAUUCCUCAGAAAUGUGGCUUUGUCUUCACCCAUGGGAACAGCCCACACAACUGAUUCAUCCUGAUAAAUCGAACCAAUGCUCUUCCCUGCAAGCUCUCUCAUACCCAUGUAUCCCUCAGAUCAUCAUGGAAAUCCCAAAUUAACACUUGUCUGGACUGGA